GAAAAGAAACCAACAGGGAUUGCCCCAGUAACGGCGAGUGAAGCGGCAACAGCUCAAAUUUGAAAUCUGGCCCCCAGGGCCCGAGUUGUAAUUUGCAGAGGAUGCUUUUGGCGCGGUGCCUUCCGAGUUCCCUGGAACGGGACGCCAUAGAGGGUGAGAGCCCCGUCUGGUCGGACGCCUAGCCUGUGUAAAGCUCCUUCGACGAGUCGAGUAGUUUGGGAAUGCUGCUCUAAAUGGGAGGUAUAUGUCUUCUAAAGCUAAAUACCGGCCAGAGACCGAUAGCGCACAAGUAGAGUGAUCGAAAGAUGAAAAGCACUUUGAAAAGAGGGUUAAAUAGUACGUGAAAUUGUUGAAAGGGAAGCGCUUGUGACCAGACUUGGGCCCGGUGGAUCAUCCAGCGUUCUCGCUGGUGCACUCCGCCGGGUUCAGGCCAGCAUCAGUUCGCCGCGGGGGAAAAAGGCUUCGGGAACGUGGCUCCUACGGGAGUGUUAUAGCCCGUUGCAUAAUACCCUGGGGCGGACUGAGGUUCGCGCUCCGCAAGGAUGCUGGCGUAAUGGUCAUCAGCGACCC
rnacentral:rRNA from 1 species